UAAUUUAAAGUUUGACCUGCCCUAUGAAUAUUUAAAUGGCCGCGGUAUUUUGACCGUGCAAAGGUAGCAUAAUCAUUAGUUUCUUAAUUAGGAACUGGUAUGAAUGGUUGGACAAGAAAAGUACUGUCUCAGUUUAAUUUUUAUUAGAAUUUUAUAUUUAAGUUAAAAAGCUUAAAUAAAUUUAAAAGACGAGAAGACCCUAUAGAGUUUUAUAUUUUAUUAUUUAUUUAAAAAUUUAAGUAUUUAUAGAUUUAAUUAGGUAAUAAAAAUAUUUGAUUGGGGCGAUUGAAAAAUUUAUAGAACUUUUUUUAAAUUUUUACAUUAAUUUAUGAUUAAAUGAUCCAUUUUUUAUGAUUAUAAGAUUAAAUUACCUUAGGGAUAACAGCGUAAUUUUUUUUUAGAGUUCUUAUCGAAAAAAAAGAUUGCGACCUCGAUGUUGGAUUAAAAUUAAUUCUUGGUGUAGAAGCUAGGGGGAUUGGGUC
rnacentral:rRNA from 1 species